UUACUUCCGUCAAAACGUCACUAGGAACAUCCCCAAAUAAACACGAUCCAUAGAACAUACAUCUGAUUUAGAUCACUACGAUUCCGUUAACAUAUCUAUAUAGAUACAAGAAUACUGAGUACUUAACUUGUCAAGACAUUGAAGACCGACUGUACAAGCAACGCCAACACCAGGAUUUCACAGUAGCAAAAGGAUACUCUCACAAGCAAACUGGGCCGUCAACGAUUGCUCCACAGAUAGGAUUGGCAGUUAGUGCUGAGGUCACCCCACGACCACCCCAGAGGCCGGACAGUCAGGUGGCACUACUGGCUGAGCCAUGCCGCUUUUCUUCAGGAAGAGGAAACCAAGUGAAGAUGCCAAGAAGCGUCUGGAGCAUCAGCUUUACAUGUCUAAAGAGGUAGGAGCUGAUGAUGUGAUGGACAUUUCAUCCUGUGAGCUGAGUGAGGCUCCCACCAGUGCUUUUUCACUCUGUAAAAUGCUGCAUAAGAAGGCCUUCAAUCUCAGUGACAAUGAGCUGAAGUCUCUCAUCCCAAAAGGCUGUUCUAUCAGCUCACUGGUUACUCUCCAGGUCCUAGAUAUUCGCAACAACAAGCUGACCUCUCUCCCCGAUGACAUUGGGCAGUUAACAUCACUCCAGGUGCUGAAUGUAGAGAAGAAUCAUUUAAAAGGACUACCAAAAUCAAUAGGAGAUCUUUGCCAUUUGAAAACUCUCAAUCUGAAAGGGAACUGUCUGAAUGAGCUGCCUGCUUUGGUGGGGCACCUGAGGAGCCUGAAGACUCUGGACCUGAGUGAGAAUAAUAUCAGGGAGCUGCCGAAGGACUUGGCCCAUGCCCGCUGCCUGGAGAGCCUGACACUGGACACUGCACUGAUGACCUACCCUCAUUCCUCUGUGUGUGCGGCUGGCACUGAGGCCAUCCAGCAGUUCCUGUGUGCAGAGCUGGGCCUGGAGUAUUGUCCACCCAGUGAGUGCCAGCCUGCCCAAGGGGCUGAUGGGAUGACAGAGGAGACAAACAGUGUGGACAAUCCUGACUUUGCCUGGCAGAGUAAUUUCCUGGAGUAUCAGAGGAGAAAGGACGAGAAGAAUCGGGAGAAGCUGUUGUUUGAGCAGGACCUGGAGGAGAAGCGCAGGGAACACACCCAGCUGGUCUACCUUAACAACUCCCACAAGGAGAACAUCCUGCUGUCUGUCAGAGAGCAGCAGGAGCGUCUGGAUAAGGAACUCUCCGUGCAGCAACAGGCUCUGGAUCUGCAGAGGCAGCAGACGCUGCGGAAGGUGCAGGAGGCCGAGAGCAGCGCCAUGAACCGCAUCACCAGUCUACUGCAGGACAACUCACGCCAAGUGCAGAACGCAGAGAUACUACAGGCUAUGGAGCAGGACAGGAUACACAUGGAGCAGCUCGCAGCAGUGACGCAUGAGGAGGCUAACUCGCUGCGGAAAAGAGAUGUGGCAGUGGCAAUGCAGAAGAUGCUCUCUGAGAGUUUCUCCAUGCGUCUGCUGCAGGAAGCCAAUGAGGGCAGGAGGCAAAGCAUGGUGACUGAUGCCCAGCGGAGAAUGGAGGACCAGGACAUGAAACUGGAGCAGCUGUUAUCACUGCAGCAGCUGGAUAAAUCUAAAGCCGUUGCUGAAAUCCUGCAGGAGGAGGAAAUGCAGAAGGCUGCCUUCGAGGCCUUGCAGCUGCAGAAGGACACUGUUCAUGGCUAUUUACGCAAUCAGAUUAUGCAAAUAGAGGCAGAGUUAAUGCAGAUGACAAAACUGGAGGUAAAGAGGAGAGAUCUGGACACUGAGAACCUGCAGUUUGUGUUGGCGGAUCAGCGCACAGGCCUUUUGGACAUGCUGCAGGUGCUGCUGAAGCAGAAGGACCAGAGAGAGCAGGAGCUUCGGCAGCUUCUGGUCGAGCUGGAACGGAAGAGCGAGUCCAACCUGCAGAACUACUGGAUGAUCCAGUACCAGAGGCUACUGGACUCUAAGCCUCUCUCACUGGCCAUGCAGGAGGCUGGCGUGGAGCAUGAGCUGGUGAGUCUGCUGUCCAAGCUCUCCGCUGAGCACUACCUGCCCAUCCUGGCUCACCACCGCAUCACGGCCGAAGCUCUUCGCCACAUGACCGCCAAAGACCUCAGCAAAAUUGGGGUGAAUGAGGUGGGCAUACAGAGGGCUCUGCUCAACUGGGCAAAGACACAUAUAGCCAAGCCAACAAAGGCAGUCGCCCUCCCGGCCGAGCCUCGGGCAAACGAAGAGGAAGAAGUAGCAGGCCCGUCCCAACCCAGUGCCCCCUCCCCAGAGGCGACCCCUCCGAUGACCCCCUCUGCUCCAGGCCCUCCGGAGAGCCCCAGCUGUUCCGAGUGUGUGGUGUGCAUGGAGCGAGGGUCGCAGGUUAUCUUCCUGCCCUGCGGGCACGUGUGCUGCUGCUACCAGUGCAACGAGUCCCUGCAGACGUGCCCGCUGUGCCGCGCUGCCAUCGACCAGCGCCUGCGCCUCUACUACGGCUGAGGAGCUGGGGGCCAUCGCGGCCGUCUAUGAAAACCACUUAUGCACUUGCAAUCAUGCCGUCUUUCUGCAUGUACUCUCUACCUAUUAGGCCACACUCCAAAAGCUAUCACCAACCUCACGACCACCACCACCACCAUCAUCAUUUCCGUCCUCUGGACAAAGAUAAGGUCUUUAUCAUCGGCCAAAGCCAUGUGCAAUAUCCAUGCCCAUACCAUCAGAUACUUCCGGGGCUCUUUAAAGUGGUGCUGAGUUUGAACUAGGUGAGAUGCACCAGGUGGUCCUGCGGUCAAGAGGAGGAGGCGGGAAAGAACGCUCCUGAAUGAUGCGAUGAGCAUGCAUAUUGCCCAGGUGGAUAAUGACACACACACACACACACACACACACGCAUAUUGCCCAGGUGGAUAAUGCUGAAUGAAAAUGACAGGUCAGAGGGGAUUAUCUAUUUUUGGAUGUCUUGCCAGUCAAAGACUUUUAUUUUGCCAGUUUCUGCAGCUGGCUGGUUUAAUGUCCAUGUGUUUUAAAAUGUGAUUAACUGCAGUCUGAAUGUCAAAUGAGAAACCUUUGCGAGAAAUGAUCUUGUAGUUUAAUGGUUUUAUGUCUAUCUCAUUUUUUUUUUAGAUAUAUGUUAAGAGUUCUGUCGUUGUUCAGUAUAUAGAUGAAUACCAGUGUAUUCUAAGGUCUAAUCUCUUCACUGGUCUCUACACCAUCUGUAAGUGCCCCCCACUGGACUUCAGAGCAACAACAUGUGUUUCACACUUAAGAGUGGAUGCUUUCUUUGAACACCGGAUCUCUGCACGUGUGCCUUGUGUUAUCUGUACUUGACGCCAAUAAAAAAGUGGUCCUUCACAGGAACCGGUUACUCUCCCAGAACCGUUACAAAUGGCCGUCAAACUGGAGGUGCACCUCUAGACAGCCAGGCUGUCUCUGCUGCAACAUCACAUCGCAUCGAUCACAUCACAACCAACCAACUAAAGCGUCUAACCUCAUUUCCAUCCUUUACUAUCUCUUGUGACUAAGUGCUCUUAUUGUUGAUACUAACAAUGCAUGCUUUCUAUUAUGUUACUGUAAAUAUAUAUAUAUAUACUGCAUGCUGAGAAGUACUGAAUAUAUGCUCAAUAAAUUAUACCUAAAAUCAUACCACUUGUCACCGAAGUUGCAUACGGUGUGUUGCUUUGAAAAGCAGCAGAUGCAAAUAUGCUGUACCAAAAGACAGUGCCUGACACACAGUAUGCAGUUGGCGUAGCUGGAACACAAGACAUUUCUACCAAAACUAGUCAAUAUUUUAUCCACAUCAUAAGCGUAACAAAUUAAAGCUAUCGAUGUUAUCACAUAUUUUUACCCAUUCCCUUUCUACCCAUUGUCUUGUCUGAAAACCUGCAUAUUUUGAAGGUAACUUCUGCAUGUCAUAUCUAUGGAAACUGUGAUGUUUUUAUGUCUGUGUAUAUGUGUAUAGAUGAACUGCUAACUGCUCAUCUGUGUAUAGAUGAACUGCUAAGGUGCCGAUCUGCCUUGGCUACUUAGCAUAUCCAGCACGUGGAGGUGUGUAAAGCAUAUCCCUUCACCAGCGCAUCAUUAGUGUGGUGUGAAACCUAUGCAAAUAAAUUUGCUUACAAGUC